GAUGAAGAACGUAGCGAAAUGCGAUAAGUAAUGUGAAUUGCAGAAUUCAGUGAAUCACCGAAUCUUUGAACGCACAUUGCGCCCGCCAGUAUUCUGGCGGGCAUGCCUGUCUGAGCGUCAUUUCAACCCUCAUGCCCCUAGGGCGUGGUGUUGGGGAUCGGCCAAAGCCCGCGAGGGACGGCCGGCCCCUAAAUCUAGUGGCGGACCCGUCGUGGCCUCCUCUGCGAAGUAGUGAUAUUCCGCAUCGGAGAGCGAUGAGCCCCUGCCGUUAAACCCCCAACUUUCCAAGGUUGACCUCAGAUCAGGUAGGAAUACCCGCUGAACUUAAGCAUAUCAAUAAGCGGAGGA
rnacentral:misc_RNA from 1 species